CCAACAUGCCUUUCGUUUUCUGCAGCCUUCAUUGUAAUCUACUUCACCCAAGACAUACUAUCUGGCAGAAGUUGAAGGAAGUGUCUAUGUCUGGUUUCAUUAUCACACUGCCUGGGCUUUUAGCCUGAGAAGGAUUCAUCGGAGGAACAGACUGAAGAAGGAGAUUCGGUUGGGAAAGGAAAUUGAAACAUAGGAAGUAGAUGCCUAGACCCUGAGCUACCAUGAUGAAUUCAUUUUCCUAUGACAUGAUGUGAAAUACUAACAAUCACAUUCUCUCUAAAGCAACCGAUUUUCAGUAAGUUGGAGGGGGGGAGGGAAGUGUUAGAUUAGCAGCAGUCAGUCCAAGCCAGCUUGCAAAAUAAAGCAAGUAAUUUCUGUGAAGAAAGAAUCUGGAUAUGUGCAUAAGUACUCAAGCAGAAUAUGAAGGCAAAGGUGAUGCAGACUCUUAAGGUGUAAAGAAUCUACACAAGAAGAGGAAAACCAUGGAUCCUGGAAGGAUUAAAGAAAUAACAAUACACAAUAGUGACUCAUAAUUACUACUUAAAAACACAGUUUCUUCACGGUGAUCCCAUGAGACUUGAAAAAAAGUUGAGAAAUCAAGAAUUUUGGAAAGUAGAGCUCAGUCUUUCAACCACCAAUAGAUUAUUUUAUUCAUGAUUUUUUGCAUGCUAUUUCACAACCUGUAUUAUUUCCUUAUCUAUCCAUGUUCUUCCAAUUUGGGCCAAGAGUCCAUGACCAUGUGCCUCCUAUUAAUGUCAAGAGCGAGUGAUGCACUGUGAUGAAAUUCAACUUUGACUGACCUUCAGUUCCACUGUUCACUGCACCAACACUGCCAUGGAGAAAUGAGAGAGGCAAUUGUUGGCUGUGGGGGAAAAAAAGCUGUUUUUUACUUAUCAGAAGAUUGACAAACCCUAAGGAAUAUUAUCCUUCCCAAGACUAUAUUGAAAAUGAUGAAAAUGUGUUGUGUUUGCUGCAGAUGUCAAAUUUUUCCAAAGGCACAAAAUCAAGUCAAUUCCACACCUCCCACACACCAACACAAACUGUUUUUUAUUAGCUUGAAUUGUUGGUUACAUCCCUAGGAAGGUUUAGUGUAAGUCUACAAUUAGAGGAAAAACUAAUCACAUUUUGUAAACCUCUGAAUGAUAUAGCACAUACAGUCUCUCACAAUCACAAUAUGGUAGGUAAGACCAGUUGUCAAUAACCAGAUUUUACCCUGCUGUCCCACAUGCUAUGUAGGGUUAUAUCACAAUAAGGUUGCAAGCCAAAUCAACCAGUUACUUAAGAUGGCUACUAGGACAGUCUAAUUAUAGUUAGGAAACAAGGACUGUCACUGUUAUCAAGGAUCAAAUAUUUCACUUUUUUUUGAGAAUGGGGUUAUUUUACAUACCCUAAGUUAACCUUAACAGGAAAACUGACUUUUUAUUUUUAGGAAAAUCAGGAAAACAAUUUCAAACUUAUGAAUAGCAUGAAAUACAGGCAUUCAAGACAAUGGCUUUUCCUUUUUGACAAAGUUUUUUUUGGUCCAAAAUGUUCUUUUGAAUCGAUUGAUGAAAAACACAGAGAGACCUAUUUUCUCCACAGAAUAGAGCAAUAUACUAUGGAAAUCAAUGUUUCUUGGCAGAUGAAAUAUUCCUGUGAGUAGUUGUGUCAGAGGAAUAAAUAGAGAUAAAUAUGUUUUAAGUAAUAUUAUUUUCAAUAAAAAUAGGA